ACCUCAUAACAUCUUUUGAACCAUUAUAGCAUCAAAAGUCAUUGGCUUUUAUCAUUUGAGUCACAAAUCAAAUUUAAACGAUCCACGCGUGCCGUGUUUUGUAAAGCUGUUGUAAUUGUUGUUUUCAGGUUUUAUAAUUGAAUAUCAAAGCUUCUGUUGUCUUCUAUUACGCUCCUACCAACCUCAGGAACCUCAAUUUUGAAAACAAAUUACGUUUUACCCGUCCCUUCAAGUUUAACCUAGUUCCAGCCUGUCACACCCCGGUCCCGGCGUCGGCGGGUUUUAAGCACCGGACGUCGAUUCCGAGGCAUGAACGAGUGUUACAAAACAGAAUAAAAUAAAAGCACUAUCUUCUAGGCUCGUCGGCUACCUUUUCCCGGCUCGAUCAAAUCUAAGUACUUCUCUGCAAAAAAAAUAUUAGAGAUGGGUGGGUGAGCAUAACCACGCGCUCAGUGAGUAGACUAAUGUAAUAUGCCCGCAAAGCCAUGUCAUUUUACACACGCUACAAAAUAUGUAUAUCGUAUACACAUCGAGUCACACAAUUCAUCACAUCGCACAAUCCCUUCUUAUUGGAUAUCCUUCAAUUUAGUGAUCCCCACGGGAACCUAAUGACCUUCAAGUCCUAUACCUCCGUGUGUCACAUCCUUACUUCGGCAUAACCAAUCAAGAAGUUCACAUGUUCCAUGAUUAGUCAAACAAUGGAUCCAACACAUAAUAAUAUAUAAAACUCCACAUAUUUCGCAAAUCGACAUGCUUCACUAUAAAAAGAGAGAUAUUUCGUAAAAGAUCAAAAUCAUGUUUUUCGACUAAUUUGAUAGCAAAUAAGAAUAUUUGAAACAUAUUACAAAAAUCUACUCACCUCGUUAAUACGAACCCCUACCAAGAACGUCGAUCGUAAACCGAGCCUCCUAAAACGAGCCAUCUAGAAAUCACCAUUGGAUGCUCAAACCUCUAGGAUAGGAAGAGGACAUCGAUACGAACCCGUAACACUUCGCGGAUUCAGAAUCAGACUUACGGAUCAAAAGUUAUGAUCCGCCGAACUUUAAGUCGUAAAAACCCUAUAAAAAGAAAAUGUACAGAGACAUUUGAAGAGAGAGAGAGAGAGAGAGUAUAGAGAGCAGCUGCUAAUUAUACCUCUAUAUAUAGGAGAAUAGGCCGACAUUUGAAGGGUCGGUUAAGGUUGUUGGCCCAAUUGAAAAUGGACACUAGUCCAUUAAAGAAGAAACCAACUCCAUCACUUGACAAGUUUCCUAUGACUUGCAAUUGUAGCUGCAACUGACGCAGCUCUCAUCUCCUCACAGCCGACCAAGUGAAGCCAAGUGUCACUAAACAACCACUAAAAUGCUGCCACAUCAACACAACGGAUUAACUUCAACGAAACUUCGAAAAAUCGAUAAAAAUAGCUCAGGAACUCAAAAAAAUUCAUCGAAAAAUACGACGAACUUGUCGCGACCUCUAUUUUCUAAUUUUAAGAAGAAAAACACAUUUUUAAGAAAUUUCAAAAUUCAGGAUGUUACAAUCUACCCUCCUAACAAGAAUUUCGUCCCCGAAAUUCAACACACCUUCAAAAACCAAAAACACUUAUGACUCUACGCUAAGAUGCUAGAAUCCUAAUCUACCACAGAUCUUGGGGUUCUAAUUCUUGGUUUGUUCUGAUACCAUUCUGUCACACCCCGGUCCCGGCGUCGGCGGGUUCUAAGCACCAGACGCCUAUUCCGAGGCAUGAACGAGUUACAAAGCGGAAUAAAAUAAAAGCACUAUCUUCUAGGCUCGUCGGCUACCCUUUCUCGGCUCGAUCAAAUCUAAGUAUUUGUCUGCAAAAAAAAUAUUAGAGAUGGAUGGGUGAGCAUAAUCACGCGCUCAAUGAGUAGACCAAUGUAAUAUGCCCGCAAAGCCAUGUCAUUUUACACACGCUACAAAAUACGUAUAUUGUAUACACAUCGAGUCACACAAUUUAUCACAUCACACAAUCCAUUCUUAUUGGAUAUCUUUCAAUUUAGUGAUCCCCACGGGAACCUAAUGAC
rnacentral:lncRNA from 1 species